GAUGAACGCUGGCGGCGUGCUUAACACAUGCAAGUCGAACGGAAAGGCCCAAGCUUGCUUGGGUGCUCGAGUGGCGAACGGGUGAGUAACACGUGGGUGAUCUGCCCUGCACUUUGGGAUAAGCCUGGGAAACUGGGUCUAAUACCGGAUAGGACCAUCGUUUAGUGUCGGUGGUGGAAAGUUUUUCGGUGUGGGAUGAGCUCGCGGCCUAUCAGCUUGUUGGUGGGGUAAUGGCCUACCAAGGCGUCGACGGGUAGCCGGCCUGAGAGGUGUACGGCCACAUUGGGACUGAGAUACGGCCCAGACUCCUACGGGAGGCAGCAGUGGGGAAUAUUGCACAAUGGGCGCAAGCCUGAUGCAGCGACGCCGCGUGGGGGAUGACGGCCUUCGGGUUGUAAACUCCUUUCGCCAAGGACGAAGCGUUUUGUGACGGUACUUGGAGAAGAAGCACCGGCUAACUACGUG
rnacentral:rRNA from 1 species